rnacentral:rRNA from 1 species
UAGGGAAUCUUCGGCAAUGGGGGCAACCCUGACCGAGCAACGCCGCGUGAGUGAAGAAGGUUUUCGGAUCGUAAAGCUCUGUUGUAAGAGAAGAACGUGUGUGAGAGUGGAAAGUUCACACAGUGACGGUAACUUACCAGAAAGGGACGGCUAACUACGUGCCAGCAGCCGUCGUAAUACGUAGGUCCCGAGCGUUGUCCGGAUUUAUUGGGCGUAAAGCGAGCGCAGGCGGUUUAAUAAGUCUGAAGUUAAAGGCAGUGGCUUAACCAUUGUUCGCUUUGGAAACUGUUAAACUUGAGUGCAGAAGGGGAGAGUGGAAUUCCAUGUGUAGCGGUGAAAUGCGUAGAUAUAUGGAGGAACACCGGUGGCGAAGGCGGCUCUCUGGUCUGUAACUGACGCUGAGGCUCGAAAGCGUGGGGAGCAAACAGG